rnacentral:snoRNA from 1 species
UAUAAUGAAGAGGCUGGGACAUAAAUCCCUAAAAAAACAGCAGUAAGAUAAUUUUCAAUUAGAAAAUAUCUUACUGCUGUUC